AAUCAGUAUGUCUGAAAAUGUAGAGUUCCUUCCUAUUAAGCAUAAGGUUUUGAUGCUCCAUAUGUAGCUCAAGGUUAGUGCUAUUCGUAUCAGCUUGGACCGUUGUUGGUGAGUCCUCAUCUCCUCGAGGACAUCACUUAUGAUUUCUUUUUCAGUAAUUACUUCCAGUUUCCAAACAUGUUAGAGUUAGCUAGGGGUUUGUCCUAGCAACUCAUGUUAGUAGAGGCUAUGAGGCAGUCAGUUAACUUUCAGCCAUGUUUUAUGUUGUCUCUUAGAUAUUAGACUCUGAGUAUUAUG
rnacentral:misc_RNA from 1 species